rnacentral:tRNA from 1 species
GGCGGCGUAGCUCAGUGGUAGAGCACGGGAAUCAUAAUCCUUUGGUCGGGGGUUCAAAUCCCUCCGCCGCUACCA